UUGCCUUUGUCACCCAGACGAUAACGGUGUACGUCAACUACCACUGAUAUUGUUAGAGUAGGUAAUAGAGGCUAUCGCUAUCACGAAUUGGUAUAUCAGAUGGUUGGAGAUGUUGUUGAUAUAGGGAUGCAUUCUGUUGGACCAUAUGAUCCAGAGAUAGUGUUGGACAUUUAUAUAAAUUAUGCCAAACUUUUUCAAAAUUUAUAUGAG